CCGGCCUGAGAGGGUGUCCGGCCACACUGGGACUGAGAUACGGCCCAGACUCCUACGGGAGGCAGCAGUGGGGAAUAUUGCACAAUGGGCGCAAGCCUGAUGCAGCGACGCCGCGUGGGGGAUGACGGCCUUCGGGUUGUAAACCUCUUUCAUUAGGGACGAAGC
rnacentral:rRNA from 1 species